rnacentral:misc_RNA from 1 species
GAUGAAGAACGUAGCGAAAUGCGAUAAGUAAUGUGAAUUGCAGAAUCCAGUGAAUCAUCGAAUCUUUGAACGCACAUUGCGCCCGCUAGUAUUCUGGCGGGCAUGCCUGUCCGAGCGUCAUUUCAACCCUCAAGCCCCCGGGCUUGGUGUUGGGGAUCGGCGAGCCUCCGCGCCCGCCGUCCCCUAAAUCUAGUGGCGGUCUCGCUGUAGCUUCCUCUGCGUAGUAGCACACCUCGCACUGGGAAACAGCGCGGCCACGCCGUUAAACCCCCAACUUCUGAACGUUUGACCUCGGAUCAGGUAGGAAUACCCGCUGAACUUAAGCAUAUCAAUAAGCGGAGGA